UGAACAACAUGACAGCCUUGAUGCAAUAGCAGGUUAAUGGGUAGUUCAGGAAAUAUAGUGAGACUGCCAUGGCCAGAGUUCCAAACCAGGAUGCUGUGGUCCAACAGCUAGACCUUUCUUAUGGCCCCCCACCGAUAUUAGCAUGGCCAUACCAAGAGAACCCUCUCAUAGUACAGAUAGCUGAAGUACCGGAGCAUGGAGGGAUCCAAGCUGGACAGAGGGGAGGAGCCCUUCCC
rnacentral:lncRNA from 1 species